rnacentral:lncRNA from 1 species
GGGCUUGGGGUCAGAGGAUUUCAGGAUCACCUUUUCCCAUCCAACAAAAGGAAGACAGAGCUGCAUUGCUCCAGGCCAUGAAAAGACAUCUGGACCAAAAGGACAAUUAAGGUCAUCCGUGUUGAUGUUGCUAUAAGCAGCGAACCGGGAGUUUAAUGCUUAUAAAAUGAAAACCAGAUGUGGGACGGAGGUGGAACCCUGCUGCAUUGGAGUUGGCAACAAUUUUCGGGAGCCGAGCAAAGCUUUCACUUUCAAGGCAGAUCUUGAACAAUAGUCGCAUCUGUUUCUUCAAAGCCCAGGCAGACUCAGCGCGGUUGAAUUCAUCUUCAGCUUUGAAUAGAAAGGGGCAUUGUUGGAAGAAUAACUAGACAGCCUUUCAUGUGCUCGAUUACAAGACUUUAAUUUUUCAGAUGUAAAGUAUAAUAAAAAGCCUUUCAACCCCUACCUCACAACCCCAUUCUCCUAUAAACUUGGUGAAAUCCUACAUCUUGA